CUGCCCCCGCCUUCUCGGAGAAGCUUCACACCCCUCCUCGAUCGAUCCCGCGGGCGCCGCCUUGGCGCUUGCCGCCUCACCUUCUUCCAUUCCAUGGCGGCACAAGCCCUUAGCGCUCUCGCGUGGCGAUCGGAACCAAAUGGCCGCCGGUGGAGCGGCGUCCCCGGACCCCGAGCCGGCGGCUCCUCCCCCGGUUCCCUGCUUUGAGGCCAGGCCGUGACGCGACGCCCCACGACCGCUGCGGAACUGGGUGUGCCGCGUGCCACCACCGCCGCCGCGGUUCCUGCAUCAGGGUGGGUUUGAUCAUUGACGCCGCGGCCGCGUGGGGGCGCUGGAACUCGAGAUCGCUAAGCGGUGCGGACCGUUGGAGCCUUGAUUCGAUCCUUCCUCCGGGACGGCCUUUUGCGCGCCGUGAUCCCAAGGUGUUUAUACCCCCAUUCAGCGAGGAGCCAGGGACAAAGGCAGUAAGGAUUUGGAUGAAGAUUCAGAAUUUGAUCUGUGUUCAUUUCAUGAUACAUCCCUACAUGCAAAUUUAUUGAAGUGCACGUUUUCUUUCCAGGAGAUAAAUGUCUAGUGAUUCCUACUAAGUGUGGACUGAGCACUGUCACAUCCAUCUAGUAUUUUAACCUGUUAGGAGUUGGUAUGGCAGAUUUUACUUAAAUUGUGUAAAUCUUGUAUCUACAUUCUCCUCUUAGUUUUUCCUUAUGUUUCUUUUAUCCACCGUUUAUGUCCCUGUCAGUUCCAUAACAUUGUAUUCCCUCCAUCCCAAAUUAUAAGUUGUUUUGACUUUUCUA